rnacentral:lncRNA from 1 species
GGUGACCUCACAGGAGACGGGCUCAAAGAAGAAGGUGUGGUCCACAAUGGUUUCAUAGAAGUCACCGGAUGCUUCCUUUAUCACCUGGCCUUUCUUUGCCCACCUGCAGGACAAGGAAGCAGAGUGGCAUUGCACUGCUUUCCAUUUGGCAGUGACAGCAGGGAUGGGAUGAGGACAGUCUGUGCUGUGAAAAAGAACUUCAUCCCUUGAAGGCAGCUGAAAUAACAUCACCCUGGAAAGCCAAGCUGGCAUUUGCAGCUCUACAACUUGCAAAUUGUCUCAGAGAACAAGCUGUCAACUCAGCACUUGAAUUAAGCCGCUGUUUGCCAAACAAUGAGCAAAUGUGACCUAAUGGGGCACCAUCUGGCAACCUGCCACUCCAGCACGGGUGGAGAGAACGGGAGAUGCUGUCACACAGUGCGAAACCCCAUCCGCUCCUGGGAGGAAGGGAAAGAGAGUGGAGGAAAACAUAAUAAAUCUCCCCAAAAGAAUGACGGGGGCAUUAGAAAGGAGAGGAUGCCCCCGAGGAACUGCUGAUGUUGUGCUGGGGCGGCUCUCCUGUGGUGGGAUGAGUGGGGACAGGGGAUGUGCUGGGCAGAGGAGAACAAACAGACAAAUCCUAAAGGCCCACGAGUGUGAACCUAAUGGGAUGAGUAAGGGAGAGCUGUGAGGCAUCACCCUGCAGCCAACAGCACAAGCGGUUCAGAAGAGAGGUAUUAGCAGCACAGAUGGGAGCUGGUUUGUACGCACUUAUCUGCUCUCUCUUCUCAUUUAUCUUCACACCUCUAAUGGAUGCUGACUGGCCGCUCCGGCUUCCCCACGCUGCCUUCCUCCCUGGAUUCCCCCUUCAAUAAUUAAUCAGGAGAUGCUGCUCAGAUUUUUUUAGGGCUGUGAUUGACGAGGGAAGCUCCAGGUAUGGGAAAACUAGCACAAGUGACACCUUCCAGUCACUGCUCCAAAGGCAAAUUGCAUUUGGGUGCUGCCUUCCUCCUUCCAGCUGUAACAAAACUGAAGCUUUGCUGCACUCCUCAAUGACUCUGUCCCCAUCCAGGUGCACUUCCAGACUCUGCAGCCCACUUACUGCAUGCACCAGACGGACAAAGCCAUUUCCUGGAGUCAUUAAGUUUGGAAACGACCACCGAGAUCACCUCGGAUCAUCAUUUCCUUGCAGUGAUCGACAGCGCAGGACUGUGCUGCUGCCCACUGACCAUGCACAGCACCGUGUUUUGCAGCAGCCCAACCUGCGCAGCUUGUGGAGGACAGGGAACACAUUUCCAGAGGAUAGAAGUUCUGUGGCCCAGCAGCAGCCCAGGAAAACACAUGUGAAGCAACCUCACACAAUGCUUUAUGUGCGUGUUCAAAACCCAUCGCUUCUGCAAAACUGGCUUUGCCGAGCGCAGAGAUGUGUCACAAACAGCAAUUUUUCGUGCUUCAGCAGAGAUCAAGGUUCUUGCUCCAGUUUUCCAAGGCUUAACACUGCUAAAUCAAUGUGGCUGAACAAGCGGUAUGGAUCUUUUAUAAUGUCAAAUCGGUUUUUAAUAACGAUGGCUGAUAACCCUCCUGUAAAGCUC